CGUAUGUUUCAGACUAUUGCUAGUUGCUGGCAAAUUCGUUUAUCGAUUAGUUAGUAACCAAGCGUAGUCUUUGCUUGGUUUUCCAAGUAAGCACGUUAGUGCCAAGGGUUUUGGGUCUCUUCUUACCAAAAAGUCUUGGCAUGUGUGGGGCAUAGAUUGCGUUCUGAUUCGAACCGUGAACAAAUUAAAGUGUUUAAAGCGGGCAUUGUACGUUCUUUGAACGUUUUGCUUGAAUAAUUUAGCAUGGGACUCAUUUUCCUUGCGAAAGGAUAAGAAAAAGGAGCCAGGAAGAGGACUCUGGUAUUGCGCGUUUAGAGGUGAAAUUCCGACAUCUUCGCAGGACGAACGGAGGCGUAGGCUGUCAUUGCCCAUCACAUCUCUAUUGAUCAGGAACGAAAGUCAGGGGAUCGAAGAUGAUUAGAUACCGUCGUAGUCCUGACCGUAAACGAUACUAACUCGAGUUUGUAUGUAACAGUUUUUCAAAAAUUGAUACAGAAUCCAAGGGAAACCGUUAAGUCUUUGGGUUCUGGGGGGAGUAUAGUCGCAAGGCCGAAACUUAAAGGAAUUGACGGAAAGACACCACCAGGAGUGGAGUUUGCGGCUUAAUUCGACCCAACGCGGGAAGACUCACCAGGAUAGGACAGAAUGAGGAUUGACAGGUUGAAUAUGGUCCUUUCUUGAUUUUUUGGAAGGUGGUGCAUGGCCGUUCUUAGUUCGUGGAGUGAUCUGUCUACUUAAUUGUGUUAACGAACGAGACCUUAACCUGUUAACUAGGCACUAGUUGAAUUUUAUUCAUGGGUUUCUUACGAAAUCUAGGUCAUUCGGGUUUUACCCGAGCUUCUUAAAGGGACAAUACUGUGUAUUUUAUAUUUUAGCGUAGGGAAGUUAAAGGCAAUAACAGGUCUGUGAUGCCCUGAGAUAUCCUGGGCGGCACGCGUACUACAAUGUCAUUGACAACAGGCUUUCCGCUUCGGCGGGCCUCUACCAAAAUGUAGGGGAAAACGUGUCAAACACUUAUAUGACUGGGAUAGCUGUUUGUAAUUACAUCUUAAACGAGGAAUUCCUAGUAAGCGCAAGUCAUCAUCUUGCAUUGAUUACGUCCCUGUCUUUUGUGCACACCGCCCGUCGCUCCUACCGAUUGGAUAGCAAGGUGAACUUGAUGGACUCUAGCGAGAAAAUUUAUUAAACCUUUCCAUCUCUAGGAAGGAGAAGCCGUAACAAGGU
rnacentral:rRNA from 1 species